rnacentral:misc_RNA from 1 species
AGGCCUAUUUGUACAGCUUGUAGGUGCAUUCAUGCACCCUCUGGGUCUCUGAGGAUCGUGUUGGCCAGUCCAUACGACAAUUCAACGCAUUAGAAGCGGUGUUCACGGUCUAUACAGCUUGGUUCCAAUGAGAUAAACUUGCAAAACAGCACCCAAUUGAAAACCAACAGAGAUCCCUUUUAAUGGUAAACAUGGAUCAAGUACCAAAUCAUCCACCUCAAUCCACCUUCAGAUAUGUUAAGGAAUUGACGGAAGACGAAAAUAAAGUGCUCUCAACAGAUGUUGAGCUGGAUCACAUCAGAGCAAAAAACAAUCUUAAGAUGCGUAAGGACCUUAAGAAAAUUAGUGACCAAUUGUCAACAGAAAAUAUCACGGAUAUCAAAUUUCUUCUUCGGGAUUUGAUUCCCUUGGGAAAGCUUGAACAAGUGAAGAGUGGGAUUCAUCUGUAUGAUGCUCUUGAAAGCCAACAGUUGAUGCGGAUCUCAUUUGAUGAGCCAAAUUUUGAGUUAUUAGUGGAUCUUCUAUAUUUCAUAUUUCGCUAUGACCUUCUACUUAUAUUAGGGUGUGAGCAACACAAUAUAAAAGCCAGACUUAAACUGAGGCCAUCUACAUGUAGGAUAUCAGAGUACAGACUUAUGCUAUAUAAGAUCAUUAUCAACCUUCAAGAGCAAGAAAAGAGGGCAAUGAUUGGAGAAGCCAGACCUUGGUUCAACCAUCUCCCAAAAGAACAGUUUGAAUGUAUAAAAUCCCUCCAAAUGCUAUUUAUCCAAAUGGAAAAGAUCAGAUAUUUGGCAGAAGAUAAAGUUGAUAAGCUACAAUGGCUGCUACAUAAAAUUGGAUCUAUGGAUUUAGUUGAGGACCUCAAAAAGUAUAAAAGAAACCAUUACUGCGGUGCAAGCUAUGGAGAAGGAAACAUUGAGGAAGCAAGCCCCUAUGCUGGUGAUAUAAACAACACAUACAAUGUUAAUCCUCAAGCAUUAGACUUACAUGUAAAGCAUCAGAAAUAUGCAAUGACUGUGCCAUUAACUGAUCCAAAGGGCCCUCCUUCACGACCUUCAGAGGAAUCAGAACCAGAAUUUGAAAAGUCAUCAUCGAAAGAUCUGUUGCAGGCGACAGAUCCAUAUAGCUUCCCCCCUCCACAGUCUCCUGGGUUGUCAGAUCAAGUUAAAAUGGUUGCAAUAGAAGACAAAGGAAAUAAAUUAUUAAAUCAGACUGUCAAUAAGUAUGAGGCCAGUGAAAAUAUCCCAUCUAUUAAUCAUGAACCAAUAGUCCCAGCAUCCAUUGAUGAGUUGAGCGAUGAUGAGCAAAUGGAUGACAGUGACUCACACAGAAGUGAUUUCGAUGAUAGCAGUGACUCUUUAGCAUCACCUAUUAAUAUAGCCAGGCCACCUGGUACUAGGGACAAUAUGAAUGCUAGCCUAGAUAACAGAACUAUAAGUAAUGCUCAAGAUCUGACACAAUUUAUGCUACCUGGUGACAGUACCAAUGUGAAUAAACAUGAUAAACUUUUACCAAAUAGGAAUGAUAACAAUUUGGAGGAAGUGCAAUAUUUGGAAUUUGGAAAAGACAAGCAAUGGAUUCCUAAAUCUCAGAGAAUUGCUAAUUUAGCGACUACUCAAUCAGCCAGUCCAGUGUCCCCAUCACCUAAAGCCCCAGAACCUCAUCCAAGUCCAUCAUUAGUGUCAGGCUCUGGUGGGAAUAAGGUGGGACUGAACCUUGUAAGUGAGCUACAUGGUGCAAAGUCAUCUAAAGGUAAAGAUGAUAUACAUGUAUCAGAAAGAAGGGGGCAUGUGUCCCAAGCAGGUCAGGUCCAGGGACAGGGGAAACUGCUUGUUGGUGCAUAUCAGAGUGCCAGUCCUGUGAACAGUCAAGAUCUCACAAUUAAUAAUCUUGAAACUGACAGUGAGCCAGAGGUAGUGUCACAGAUGUUGGAGAGUUACACUAUAGAAUCUAAGCCUAAAGGAUUGUGUCUUAUCUUUAAUAACUACAAGUUUGAUAAAUUGCCAGGGGGACAAAAUAGUCAGGUUCAAGCCCUUGAGGAUAGGAAUGGUACUGAUGUGGAUUUAGAAAAACUCAAGAAAUUAUUUACCCAACUGGGAUUCCAAGUGGUAGUGGAAGAAAAUUUGACGUCAUGUGAUAUGCUAAAUAAGUCCGUGGCAUAUUCUAGAACAAGAAAAUUCAGCGAGUUCCAUGAGAAGUCUGAUGCAUUUGUGUGGUGUAUUUUGUCGCAUGGCAUCAGGGAUGCUGUGUUUGGUACAGAUGGCAAAGAGGUGAACAUCAACAGUUUGACAUAUUUCUUCAAAGGUAGCAACUGUCCAGAGCUAAUAGGGAAACCAAAGAUGUUAUUUGUUCAAGCAUGUAGGGGUAUACACGAAAGCAAAGCUGUGGUCCCUUUAAAGAAAAGUGAACAGUUUCGGACUGAUGGUCCAACGGCUACAACACCUGAUGAGGCUGAUUGGGUGAUUGGACAAGCUACAUCACAAGGUCAUAUGUCAUUUAGGAGCGAAUCUCAUGGAACUUGGUACAUCACAAAACUUUGUGAGAAUUUAAACAGAUACCAUGGAAGAAAAUAUGACUUGUUACAAAUUCUGACAAAAGUGAACCAAGACUUGGCAAAGGGUGAAGCUGAUUUCGAAGACAAAUAUGGAAACUCUUACAUUGGAAAGCAACAGCCAGUACCAUAUUUUACCAUAAACAAGAACAUAUACCUUACUUGCAUAAACUCUAAGUGCAAAAGAUGCUCAUGAAGCAUAAGCUAAGGAUCUUUGAUUAGCUUACCAAAAUGGCAUUACAUACAAACCUGUUCUUAGGUUAUUUUCACUUAUAUCUUAUGACGAUACCAUCUGGUCUGAAAUGAAUGAAACCUGGCAAUGACAGGUAGAGACCUUAAGCUCAAGCCUUGGAUGUUCAAACGACUUCUAGGAACAUCAUUCAAAUGAUUGAAUUGAAGGCAUCACAUUAAAAACUACUGUACUCCUCUUUGCAGACUGCUUUAAGGUCAGGGUGCAUGUUCGGAAUUUUGCUGCAACCCUCAAUAGAAAGAUGUAGACAAUGUGGGAGA